rnacentral:rRNA from 1 species
GACGAACGCUGGCGGCGUGCUUAACACAUGCAAGUCGAACGAAGUGGCGAACGGGUGAGUAACGCGUAAUCAACCUGCCCUUCAGAGGGGGACAACAGUUGGAAACGACUGAUAAUACCGCAUACUGAAGGAGGGGAUUGCGUCUGAUUAGCUAGUUGGAGGGGGAACGGCCCACCAUGGCGAUGAUCAGGAGCCGGGCUGGGGGGAGUAACGGCCACAAUGGGACUGAGACACGGCCCAGAAUCCUACGGGAGGCAGCAGGGGGGAAUCUUCGGAAAUGGACGAAAGUCUGACGGAGCAACGCCGCGUGAGUGAUGACGGCCUUCGGGGUUUAAAGCUAUGUUAAUCGGGACGCGGUACCGGAAGAGAAAGCCACGGCUAACUACGUGCCAGCAGCCGCGGUAAUAC